AGUAGGGCGCGAGCGUUGUCCGGAAUCACUGGGCGUAAAGGGCGCGUAGGUGGCACUAUAAGGCCGUGGUGAAAGUCUGGGGCUCAACCCCAGAUCUGCCGCGGCGACUGUAGAGCUUGGGCACCGUAGAGGCAGAUGGAAUUCCGGGUGUAGCGGUGGAAUGCGUAGAGAUCCGGAAGAACACCGGUGGCGAAGGCGGUCUGCUGGGCGGUGGGGGCGCAAGCUCCCAAUAGCCGACACUGAUGCGCGACAGCGUGGGGAGCAAACAGGAUUAGAUACCCUGGUAGUCCACGCCGUAAACGAUGGGCACUAGGUGCUUAGGGGAGCGACCCUCUGAUUACCGGCGCUAACGCAUGAAGUGCCCCGCCUGGGGAGUACGGCCGCAAGGCUG
rnacentral:rRNA from 1 species